GUCUAUUUGGAGUUUUAAGAAGUCUGGCCUGCCCACUGAUAUAAAAUUUUUAAGGGCCGCGGUAUUAUGACCGUGCUAAGGUAGCAUAAUCAUUAGGUUUUUAAAUGAGAUCUUGUAUGAAUGGUUGAACAAAGAAAAAACUGUCUUUAAUAAUAAAAUUUGAAUUUUACUUUUAAGUGAGAAGGCUUAAAUAAUUUAAGGGGACGAUAAGACCCUAUAAAACUUUACAUUAAAAUUAUAUUUGGUUGAAUUUUAAAGCAAUAAAGAUCUAAAAUAAAGAUUGUUGUGUUGGGGCGACAAAAGUAGAAAUUAUAGUAGCUGCUUGAAAAGGAAUCACUUUUAAGUGAUAAAAGUUAUAGAUCUUAAUUAUAAAUUUAAAGAUUAAGUUACUUUAGGGAUAACAGUGUAAUUUUUUUUGAGAGUUCAUAUCGAAAAAAAAGUUUGUAACCUCGAUGUUGAAUUAAAAUAUCUAUAUAAUGAAGUAGUUGUAUAAGAGGGUCUGUUCGACCUUUAAUUUUUUACAUGAUUUGAGUUCAAAUCGGCGUGAG
rnacentral:rRNA from 1 species